UCUGACUGAGUUUCAAAUGCAACCAUUAAAGGGCUAAUGACUUCUUUUGCUACAGACCUCAGAGGUGGGAUACCAAGCAGCAGGCGUGACCUGCUUCCAAGGCUUCUGCAGGUCACAGCUCCUCCCUGCACACAAAGCUGCAGCACUCAGCUCACCCAUGCUAUUUGGGACAGAUGUUCUGUUUCUUACCUACACUCUGGAUGUCAGCGAUGAUCUGUGCUGCCAGGCUUCCUGUGUAAAAGGCAUCUGCUCCUUCAUCGGCUAUAGUCUGGUAUGUGUUGGCUAGUUUAGGCAUCUUGAUGAUAUCGCCCUCAUGCAGGAUUUUCCCAUCUCUGCAGAACACUUCACUGACAGAGAAAGGAGAUUAAGAUGUGAGAGGCAAGUUCAAAACCAUGUGUGCCCGUAUCAGCUAACACAGAUUUAGUCUAAUGUGUCUUCAUGUGGUCAUCCUGGAGAGAAGAGGAACUGCCUGAGCUAUGCCACAUGGGUCUUAAUAUCUUUCAUAGGAACAUAAAAGCGAGCAGUGUUUUCUCAGAAUUUGCUCAGUGAAGCCUGCAGGAAGCAGUGUCAGUCUUUGUCUCAAGGCAGUCCACUCUCCCUCCCUGUUCCCUGGAUUAACAACUGCCUCAAGACACCCACGAGGGUCCUUGAAGCCAAGCGGUUCAGCUCAGAGCACAGGCUAUGAAGCUGCAAGGCUCAAAGCUUUCAGUGAAUCCAGGAGAACGCAUUUGGAUUCCUAAUGGUCAGAGCACUUGGAAGUAGACAGGUCCCUGUCUAGCUCCCUCAUCAGCAAUCAUGGAUGUGAUUGAUGCUGUGGGCCUGCCAGAAGGAAGUACAGGAGUACAGGCUGGUACAUCCCAUUUACAUUACAAACCAACUUGCAGCUGGCAGGAAAAGACUAAGCAUGAUCUCAAGUAGAGCUGGACAUAGACACCAUGGGACUGCAAGAGGAAGCGCAUUUAAAACCCUUCGUGCUCAUAGUCAUUGCCAGAAGUGGAUGAUCAGAGGCAUUGCUCUGGGAAGGCUGACUGCAGAGGAAGAGAUGACCCAGAAACCCACACCCUGACAGCAGGUGGAGGGGUAGAACUGUUCCAGAUGUGUGUAGCCCUGUCGCUUACCUGUGCUGUCGUAGAUGGUAAAGAAGAGCCCUCCUCCAAUGCCCAUGCUGUGAGCGUUCAUGAGUCCAACGCAGAGCAGAGCUGCAAUAGCAGCGUCCACAGCAGAUCCGCCUUGCUGAAGGAUGUCCCUGUGCAGCAAAAGAGAAGGCAUCUUACAGCAACACGCCACAGUGUCUCAGCUAUCUGUGAGCUCUGGGCCUCUAUCACCAUAGAGAAGAGAACCUAAUGGUCUGGGUACGGCCCAGAUUGACCUUCAUUAAAGAGACAUUCGAACUAGCCUGAAAGCAGCAAGAUGUGACAAAGUACCUGGAGGAGACUGGCAUUCCAGCCACAUCCACCAUA
rnacentral:lncRNA from 1 species